rnacentral:rRNA from 1 species
UACGGGGGGAGCAAGCGUUGUUCGGAUUUACUGGGCGUAAAGGGCGCGUAGGCGGCCAGCGCAAGUCAGUUGUGAAAUCUCCGAGCUUAACUCGGAAAGGUCAACUGAUACUGCGCGGCUAGAGUGCAGAAGGGGCAACUGGAAUUCUUGGUGUAGCGGUGAAAUGCGUAGAUAUCAAGAGGAACACCUGCGGCGAAGGCGGGUUGCUGGGCUGACACUGACGCUGAAGCGCGAAAGCGUGGGGAGCAAACAGG